GAUCCUGGCUUAGGACGAACGCUGGCGGCGUGCCUAACACAUGCAAGUCGAACGGACGAGGGGAGCUUGCUCCCCAAGUUAGUGGCGGACGGGUGAGUAACACGUGAGCAACCUGCCCUUCGGAGGGGGACAACAGCGGGAAACUGCUGCUAAUACCGCAUAACGUAUCCUGGAGGCAUCUCCGGGAUACCAAAGAUUUUAUCGCCGAAGGAUGGGCUCGCGUCUGAUUAGAUAGUUGGCGGGGCAACGGCCCACCAAGUCUACGAUCAGUAGCCGGACUGAGAGGUUGAACGGCCACAUUGGGACUGAGAUACGGCCCAGACUCCUACGGGAGGCAGCAGUGGGGAAUAUUGGGCAAUGGGGGCCAACCCUGACCCAGCAACGCCGCGUGGAGGAAGAAGGCUUUCGGGUUGUAAACUCCUUUGACGAGGGACGAUAGUGACGGUACCUCGAAAACAAGCCACGGCUAACUACGUGCCAGCAGCCGC
rnacentral:rRNA from 1 species